AGAGUUUGAUCCUGGCUCAGGAUGAACGCUGGCGGCGUGCCUAAUACAUGCAAGUCGAGCGAACGGACGAGAAGCUUGCUUCUCUGAUGUUAGCGGCGGACGGGUGAGUAACACGUGGAUAACCUACCUAUAAGACUGGGAUAACUUCGGGAAACCGGAGCUAAUACCGGAUAAUAUUUUGAACCGCAUGGUUCAAAAGUGAAAGACGGUCUUGCUGUCACUUAUAGAUGGAUCCGCGCUGCAUUAGCUAGUUGGUAAGGUAACGGCUUACCAAGGCAACGAUGCAUAGCCGACCUGAGAGGGUGAUCGGCCACACUGGAACUGAGACACGGUCCAGACUCCUACGGGAGGCAGCAGUAGGGAAUCUUCCGCAAUGGGCGAAAGCCUGACGGAGCAACGCCGCGUGAGUGAUGAAGGUCUUCGGAUCGUAAAACUCUGUUAUUAGGGAAGAACAUAUGUGUAAGUAACUGUGCACAUCUUGACGGUACCUAAUCAGAAAGCCACGGCUAACUACGUGCCAGCAGCCGCGGUAAUACGUAGGUGGCAAGCGUUAUCCGGAAUUAUUGGGCGUAAAGCGCGCGUAGGCGGUUUUUUAAGUCUGAUGUGAAAGCCCACGGCUCAACCGUGGAGGGUCAUUGGAAACUGGAAAACUUGAGUGCAGAAGAGGAAAGUGGAAUUCCAUGUGUAGCGGUGAAAUGCGCAGAGAUAUGGAGGAACACCAGUGGCGAAGGCGACUUUCUGGUCUGUAACUGACGCUGAUGUGCGAAAGCGUGGGGAUCAAACAGGAUUAGAUACCCUGGUAGUCCACGCCGUAAACGAUGAGUGCUAAGUGUUAGGGGGUUUCCGCCCCUUAGUGCUGCAGCUAACGCAUUAAGCACUCCGCCUGGGGAGUACGACCGCAAGGUUGAAACUCAAAGGAAUUGACGGGGACCCGCACAAGCGGUGGAGCAUGUGGUUUAAUUCGAAGCAACGCGAAGAACCUUACCAAAUCUUGACAUCCUUUGACAACUCUAGAGAUAGAGCCUUCCCCUUCGGGGGACAAAGUGACAGGUGGUGCAUGGUUGUCGUCAGCUCGUGUCGUGAGAUGUUGGGUUAAGUCCCGCAACGAGCGCAACCCUUAAGCUUAGUUGCCAUCAUUAAGUUGGGCACUCUAAGUUGACUGCCGGUGACAAACCGGAGGAAGGUGGGGAUGACGUCAAAUCAUCAUGCCCCUUAUGAUUUGGGCUACACACGUGCUACAAUGGACAAUACAAAGGGCAGCGAAACCGCGAGGUCAAGCAAAUCCCAUAAAGUUGUUCUCAGUUCGGAUUGUAGUCUGCAACUCGACUACAUGAAGCUGGAAUCGCUAGUAAUCGUAGAUCAGCAUGCUACGGUGAAUACGUUCCCGGGUCUUGUACACACCGCCCGUCACACCACGAGAGUUUGUAACACCCGAAGCCGGUGGAGUAACCUUUUAGGAGCUAGCCGUCGAAGGUGGGACAAAUGAUUGGGGUGAAGUCGUAACAACAAGGUAGCCGUAUCGGAAGGUGCGGCUG
rnacentral:rRNA from 1 species